GAGGGUCUAACUCAGUGGCAGAGUGCAUGCUUAGCAUGCCCGUGGUCCUGGGUUCAAUCCCCAGGACCCCA
rnacentral:tRNA from 1 species